GAUGAAUGUCGACUACGGUACAAUUCACGACAUCAAUUAAUAAUCAUGUUGACAUGUUCAUUUAUUUCUGUUUCGUAAAGUAUUUAAUUCAGUUAAUGUAAGAAAUUUCAUCAUAAUUUACAUAGGGAUUGUUUGAAAUUUUAAAAUUGAACAGAAAGGUAUGAAACGUCUACUGUUUCUGUCGUUGAUAUUUGCGACUACUUAUAUUCUGACUGUUCAUGGACAAGGCGGGAAUCCUGGUGCCCCACCUGGAGGUCCUGGUGCUCCCGGUGCUGGAGGAAAUGACGGGGGUGGUGAACCAUGCUACUGCUGCUGUAAUCCAUCUUCAACUGAACCCUCGUGCUGUUACCCGGAUUGUUGUUUGUAGAAAGUAUGAUUAAAAUUAUUUUUUGUCUCUGUAGUA